rnacentral:lncRNA from 1 species
GCAUAUCUCAGCUGUUUCAUUAAUCUAAGAUCAUAAAAUAAUUUCUAUAAUUGAGAACUUUAUUUAUCUCCAAUAUGCAUAAAAGAAUAUAAUACUAUAACAACAAACAGCUUAGGCACAUAGAUAUGUAUUUUCCAUGAUGCUGACUUUAUAUUCUUUUUUUAUGAUAAAACAAAAAGGGACACUGCAAAACAUGACC